rnacentral:rRNA from 1 species
GUCCACGCCGUAAACGGUGGAUGCUGGAUGUGGGGCCCGUUCCACGGGUUCCGUGUCGGAGCUAACGCGUUAAGCAUCCCGCCUGGGGAGUACGGCCGCAAGGCUAAAACUCAAAGAAAUUGACGGGGCCGCACAAGCGGCGGAGCAUGCGGAUUAAUUCGAUGCAACGCGAAGAACCUUACCUGGGCUUGACAUGUUCCCGACAGCCGUAGAGAUGCGGCCUCCCUUCGGGGCGGGUUCACAGGUGGUGCAUGGUCGUCGU